rnacentral:rRNA from 1 species
UACGGAGGAGGCAAGCGUUAUCCGGAAUUAUUGGGCGUAAAGCGUCCGCAGGUGGCACUUCAAGUCUGUCGUCAAAGACUGGGGCUUAACCCUGGAAAGGCGGUGGAAACUGAAGCGCUAGAGUGCGGUAGGGGUAGAGGGAAUUCCCGGUGUAGCGGUGAAAUGCAUAGAGAUCGGGAAGAACAUCGGUGGCGAAAGCGCUCUACUGGACCGCAACUGACACUCAGGGACGAAAGCUAGGGGAGCGAAUGGG